CAGUCGCCACGGUAAUACGAAGGGUGCAAGCGUUACUCGGAAUUACUGGGCGUAAAGCGUGUGUAGGUGGUUGUUUAAGUCUGUUGUGAAAUCCCCGGGCUCAACCUGGGAAUGGCAAUGGAUACUGGCAAGCUAGAGUGUGUCAGAGGAUGGUGGAAUUCCCGGUGUAGCGGUGAAAUGCGUAGAGAUCGGGAGGAAUACCGGUGGCGAAGGCGGCCCCCUGGACGAAGACUGACGCUCAGGUACGAAAGCGUGGGGAGCAAACAGGAUUAGAUACCCCUGUAGUCCCUGUCUCUUAUAC
rnacentral:rRNA from 1 species